AUGGGAUUUGGAGGCAGUCGGCUGUGCUUGUGUCUCUUGCUUGCCUUUGCUUUAAUCUCCUCUGCCCGGAACAACAUUCCAUUUUCAGGUAUGCAUGCAUGUUGAUUUCUUCUCUAUACCUAUAUAUAUAUCCUCAAAACUCAUUGCAUAAGAUGAGCAACUGAGUUUUGUGGACAUGGGUUGGGGAAAAAAAAACCAUGAUUUCCAAAACCAUUUAAUUUUAUUCAAACCCAAGUAUAUAUAGAGGAGUUCUGUAAAAACUAGAGAUAUAGAGGAGGAGAAUCAUUUUGUUGGAAAUUAAAUCUCAAGUUCUGCAUAUAUUUGUCUCAUUAUGAUAUACAAUAAUAUAUUAAUAUUAAUUAAAUCAUGAUCAAGAUUAAUCUUUUAAAAUUUUUUCAUUGAGCACCGUCAGGUAUCCGUUGUUUGAGUCUGGAAUCAAUUGGGAAAAUAGGGGGAGGAGGGUUUUGAAGUUCGUGCAACACCAGCUUGGUUUUUGGCUUCACGGUCUCUCAUCUCAUGCAUCCAUAUAUGUUUGUCUCUUUUAUAUGCAUUCUAUAUUUGCUAGUGGUGCUUAAUUAGGACACUAGUGUCACAGACUAAUUGAGACUCAAUAUAAUAUAGUUAUGUAUGUUGUCAGAUUGUAUGUAAACGUAAAAAUUAUGUUGUUAGACUGUGAAUCUAAACCAUUGAUUGAAUUCACAGUUUCACAAUAAAUAUAUGUGUGGGGUGAUUUCAUGGACUAAAGAUUAUGCAAUGAAGGCUAAUAAUUAGUUUUUUUUCUUCUUUGUUUUGUGUUUUGCUGGUGUGUUUGGUUACACUGCUAAUAGAUGAUGAGGUGGUAGUGGCCAUGGAGGGUAGAUCUUUGAUGGUGAGGAUAGACGACUACAGUGACCCAACUGCUAAUCGUGGGCAUGAUCCCUCCUCCUCCUCCCCCUCCUUCUCUAGAGCCAAGGCUGGGGGCCGCGGUGGCCGAAAAGGCUAG
rnacentral:lncRNA from 1 species